rnacentral:lncRNA from 1 species
AAAACAAUAGAGAUGAGGUUUAAUUAUUUUAAAUUACAGAGCUUUCGGCGACAUCAAAACUUUGCGGCUGCCCAAGAAAUUGGCCGCUGGAUCUGACCAGCAUAGAGGAUUUGCUUUCGUCGAUUAUUACUCAAAAGCUGACGCCAAGUGUGCGUUCGAAGCACUGUGCCAAUCUACCCAUCUGUACGGGAGGCACUUGGUGCUGGAGUGGGCUGAUCAAACUGAUGAAAAUGAAGACAUUGCCAUGCUGAGGAAAAGGACAGCGCAGAGUUUCAAUGCAAAGGUGCCCGGUGGGAAAAAGUCCAGGAAAGGAGCUGUGGACGUUGAUACAUUUGUUGACCCUGAUAAUACUAUUAAUUAAAUAAAUUAGUUUAAUAAUGA